UACGGGGGGAGCAAGCGUUGUUCGGAUUUACUGGGCGUAAAGCGUGCGCAGGCGGUUUUGUAAGCCAGAUGUGAAAGCCCCGGGCUUAACCUGGGAAUGGCAUUUGGGACUGCAAGGCUUGAGUGCGGCAGAGGAGACUGGAAUUCCUGGUGUAGCAGUGAAAUGCGUAGAUAUCAGGAGGAAUACUGAUGGCGAAGGCAGGUCUCUGGGCUGACACUGACGCUCAUGCACGAAAGCGUGGGGAGCAAACAGG
rnacentral:rRNA from 1 species